GAUGAACGCUGGCGGCGUGCCUAAUACAUGCAAGUCGAGCGAACGGACGCGACGCUUGCUUCUCUGACGUUAGCGGCGGACGUGUGAGUAACACGUGGAUAACCCCCCUAUAAGACUGGGAUCAUUUCGGGAAACCGGAGCUAAUACCGGAUAAUAUUUUGCACCGCAUGGUUCAAUAGUGAAAGACGGUCUUGCUGUCACUUAUAGAUGGUUCCGGGCUGCAUUAGCUGGUUGGUAAGGUAACGGCUUACCACGGCAACGAUGCAUAGCCGACCUGAGAGGGGGAUCGGCCGCCUGAGAAGGGGGACAGGGUCCAGGCGACUGCGGGAGGGAGCAGAAGGGAACGGGACGCAGUAGGCGGAAGCAUGACGGAGCGGGGGGGAGUGAGAGGCAGGGGUCUUGGGAGCGUAAAAAUCUGUUAUUAGGGAAGAACAGAUGUGUAAGUAACUGUGGAGAGAUUGACGGUACCUAAUAAGAAAGCAACGGCUAACUACGUG
rnacentral:rRNA from 1 species